UUGAACGCUGGCGGCAUGCCUUACACAUGCAAGUCGAACGGCAGCACGGGAGCAAUCCUGGUGGCGAGUGGCGAACGGGUGAGUAAUAUAUCGGAACGUGCCCGGUCGUGGGGGAUAACGUAGCGAAAGCUACGCUAAUACCGCAUACGAUCUACGGAUGAAAGCGGGGGAUCGCAAGACCUCGCGCGAUUGGAGCGGCCGAUAUCAGAUUAGGUAGUUGGUGAGGUAAAGGCUCACCAAGCCGACGAUCUGUAGCUGGUCUGAGAGGACGACCAGCCACACUGGGACUGAGACACGGCCCAGACUCCUACGGGAGGCAGCAGUGGGAAUUUUGGACAAUGGGCGCAAGCCUGAUCCAGCAAUGCCGCGUGCAGGAUGAAGGCCUUCGGGUUGUAAACUGCUUUGUACGGAACGAAACGGUGAGCUCUAAUACAGUUUGCUAAUGACGGUACCGUAAGAAUAAGCACCGGCUAACUACGUG
rnacentral:rRNA from 1 species